UUUCCGGUUGAUCCUGCCGGAGGCCAUUGCUAUUGGGAUUCGAUUUAGCCAUGCUAGUCGCACGAGUUCAGACUCGUGGCGAAUAGCUCAGUAACACGUGGCCAAACUACCCUUCGGAGCACAAUACCCUCGGGAAACUGAGGCUAAUAGUGCAUACCACAGUCCACCUGGAAUGAGGAGUGUGACAAGCGCUCCGGCGCCGAAGGAUGUGGCUGCGGCCGAUUAGGUAGUCGGUGGGGUAACGGCCCACCGAGCCGAUAAUUGGUACGGGUCAUGAGAGUGAGAGCCCGGAGACGGAAUCUGAGACAAGAUUCCGGGCCCUACGGGGCGCAGCAGGCGCGAAACCUUUACACUGCACGCCAGUGCGAUAAGGGGAUCCCAAGUGCGUAGGCAUAGAGCCUACGCUUUUGUCCACCCUAGGGUGGUGGACGAAUAAGGGCUGGGCAAGACCGGUGCCAGCCGCCGCGGUAAUACCGGCAGCCCAAGUGAUGGCCGAUCUUAUUGGGCCUAAAGCGUCCGUAGCUGGCCGCACAAGUCCAUCGGGAAAUCCACCUGCUCAACAGGUGGGCGUCCGGUGGAAACUGUGUGGCUUGGGACCGGAAGGCGCGACGGGUACGUCCGGGGUAGGAGUGAAAUCCCGUAAUCCUGGACGGACCGCCGAUGGCGAAAGCACGUCGCGAGGACGGAUCCGACAGUGAGGGACGAAAGCUAGGGUCUCGAACCGGAUUAGAUACCCGGGUAGUCCUAGCCGUAAACACUGCCUGCUAGGUGUGGCACCCACUACGAGUGGGUGCUGUGCCGUAGGGAAGCCGCUAAGCAGGCCGCCUGGGAAGUACGUCCGCAAGGAUGAAACUUAAAGGAAUUGGCGGGGGAGCACUACAACCGGAGGAGCCUGCGGUUUAAUUGGAUUCAUCGCCGGAA
rnacentral:rRNA from 1 species